AGAGGGCUUAGAGGCACCCUGCUGUCACUGUCGUACUGUAGAGAUGGACCCCUGUUUCCUGCUGGGCUAUGAACACACAGCCCCUACAGGGAACACUGGGGGAGGGGAGAGGUGGAGGUCACUGACUGACUCAUCUGAAGGUCUGACACUGUCAGGCAAAAAUAUUGCAGUUGUUUAUCUAUAUCUCACUGGAAUCAAACUAGUUAAGGAGGCGUUUUCCUGGUUUGUGUUGUUGCGCAGUGUUGUGACACACAGACAUGAAGUUUCCUGUGCCAUAGAGCCCUGUGACGGGAACCCAGACAAGUCUUGCAUCUGAAGACAAGGCGUAUUUGACUGCACCGUAGACAACAUGAGUAAACCAUGAAAACAACAGGAAACGGUUGCAACCCUCUUCCUCUGUAAUAAAAAAAGAGAAGCACUAGUGUACAGGAGUUGCUUCUUUGGGUAUGUGUUUGUGCAGGCGUGUGACUUGUUCAUGACUAAAUCUCUUCCUGCUGGAAUAAAAAAGAGAAU